AAUGGCCUGAACUCUGUGGGCGCUUUGGAGGGAGCCCACUUGCAUUUCCCUAGCAUCUGAAAAUAGUGCAGUUUCCCUUGAAAGAAUGGAAGUGGGAAAUAUCUGAAAGUAGUGUAGUUUCCCUUUUUUGAGAGAGAGAGAGAGAGAGAUGGAAGUGGGAAAGCUUGAGCCUGUUAUUGAGCGGGCUUGGUUCCUAUUUGAGAAGCUCAGCGAUACAAGUAUAACAAUAACAGGGUUGAAAGCCUAAACAGCCACCACCAUCAACAACAAGAAGUUUAUUGUUGGGGCAGCAACAAAGCGACAAUGUGUGAUGAUGGAUACCCCGAUUUACUGGGAAUAGGAGCACAACAACACCCCAAUUGUUGUUAUUCACAUGAUUUCAGUUCCAAAUUGAUGAGAGAGAAUGAUUCUGACGAUUCAUUAAGUGAGAUGAAAAGUCUCUCUUCAAUUAGGGAUGCUUUACACAUUCUGGAAGAACUACUGGAGCUUUUGCAGAGACUGCUUUCACAGCAUCAAUCACAAAGGCAUACGGCCAUACUUAGGCUGGAAGAGAGCCGCCUGUCCCUCCUAAAGAGGCAACAAGCAACUGAUGUGUUGAAAUUCCACAAUCCCAAAUCAAAAGACUCAUUCUCUGAAUGUGCGUAUUGCCCACUUCCUAAGAACGCAUUACCUGAAAACCCAGAAAAUACUCCUGAGCAAAACACUCUGAAAAGUAUUAAUAUGAGGAUGCAUGGUAAGAGGAGGUGGUUAUUUAGCUUAUCUUUUAGGUUUCUGUGGAAUAGAACGAUGUUUCAAAGACUUAUAGUGGUUGCUGGGAGCAUGCUUGCACUGCUUCAACUGCAGAGGGCUGCUGUUAGCGAGCAUGUGGCAAGAAUAGGUGAUGGGAAAUGCAGAAGAAAUGAUUGUUUCUCUAUGAAUUAUAAAGGAGUCGCUGAGAUUGGUAUCCCUUCUCGUAGUUGCAGAAGUUCUUUGGAUGUGUUUCAUAGACGAGGGUGAAAUGUUUUGCAGAUUUAGAGGAUAGUUAUGCUGCUGCUUUACUGAGUUUAGAUCAGGAGGGCAGUGCACCUUUGAGGAAAUAGGUGGAUUUGUGAUUUCGAAAAGCUCAAAGCAAUGGGACGAAGCUGAGAAGGGGAGCUCUCAUAGAUCUACCAUGUGAUCCCAAGGAUGAGGUGAUUUAUCAUCUUAGAAGGCAAGUUCAACGACUUAUGCAGUAGCUCGCAAAUAUCAAUUGUGGGCAAGACAAAGAUCUUUCCACCCAUGAAGAUGUCGAAUUCAAUCAUUUUCAUCGUCACGCUCUGCGUGAGGAGUUGAGUGAUGAGGACAACGACAUAAAGCCUAGAGGUGGGAAGCAUGACUCUAAGGUUUAUGACAUGGAUUAUAUCCUCGACUUUGAUGGUAAGCCUCAACCUGAGGAGUUCAUAGACAGACUAAAUACUCCAAGUAAAGUUUUUGAUUUUAAGGAGGCACUUGAAAAUAAAAAAUAAAAAUUAUUCGCAUAAAAUUGAAGAAAUGUGCCUUGACAUUGUGGGAACAACUUAGAGCUAGAAGGUGGAGAAUGAGAAAGUCCAAAAAUUAAUACCUCGGAGAAAAUGAAAAAGAUUUUAAAGUAGAAAUACUUAAUUAAACUCUAUUUGCAAUCCCUAUAUCAUAGGAUGAAUACCUUUUAUCAAGGAGAAAAGUGUGAAAGAGUACACAAAUGAAUUUUAUCAAUUGAUGGCUUGAAGUAAUGUGUUUGAAAGAGUGGAAUAAUCCCUAGCUCGCUAUGUAGUGGACUGAGAGCAUCUAUACAAGAUUGGUGAUGCUACAAUGUUAUUGGACCUUAGAUGAAGCUUACAACCUUACAGUUAAUGUUGAAGCUUAGCAAAGGCAUCCAUCAUCAAGGUGAGCGUAGCUCAAGGUGGUACAAGUGGUUGUGGAAGCGAUUUUAGAGGAAAAAGUGGGAAUUUGAUGGCUUAACAGAUCUCACGGUCUGUUGGUUCACCCAAAUAGCAGGGUACUGCGGGUACUAGGGGUAGUUCUAGUCGCCCAAAUUGCUUAAAUAAUAACAUUGUUAAGUCCUUUACGUGUUCAUGAAUCAGACACAUCUCUUCUUAGUAUCCGAAUAAGAAGUCGGCUACACUUUUUCUGAAGAAGUUUUUGAAGCGGACAACAAGUUGUCAUUUGAUGGUGAUCCUACUUAUGAUGAAGAACUUGAGGAAGAAGAGCCUAUAGUGACAUUUAAUGACCAUGGGGAGGCUUUGGUGACCUGACGCAACAUGACCAUAACUCUAGUAGUAGACAAGGCUGAAUGGUUGCACACUAAUAUUUUUUCACAUACGAUGCACUGCCCAUGGGAAGGUGUGUAAUCUUAUCAUUGAUAGAGGAAGUUGAAAAAAUAUUAUUUCUUAGAAGACAAUGGACAAGUUGAAAUUUAAGAUGAAAGCCACCGAAAGCCAUACAAGAUAGCUUGGUUCAAGAAAAGAAAUGAGGUAACAGCCUCGUGUCUUUUUCUAUUGCAGAGCACUAUAAAGAUGAGAUAUGGGGUGUUGUCGUAUCUAUGAAUGCAUAUAAUUUAUCGUUAGGUAGACCGUUGCAAUAUGAUAGGCAUACUGUUCAUGAUGGGUUUAAAAAUACCUAUUCCUUUGUCAAAAGGUCCAUCUAAGACGGAAAAUACCUCUAAAUAUGAUAGGCAUACUAUUCAUGAUGGGUUUAUAAAUACUUAUUCAUUUGUCAAAUGGUCCAUCUAAGAAGGAAAAUACCUCUAAAUCAGAUGAUGAGUGUACUAACCUCCUUUCUUUGGUGGAGUUUGAAGUAGGGAGCAAAGGUGGGAAAUUGAAUCCACUGCUCUCCUGAACCUUAAACAAGUAAAAUCAGCAAGAAGAGAGAAAGAACAUAGUUGUAAAUCAAGCCAAGAGAAUAAGAACUUUCUUCUUUCAUAAAAUAAAAUUUAUUCUAAUAACUUCUCCUCUAAACUAUGACAUCCAACAUUUUAUAAGCCUAUGAAACCCUAAUUUAACUUGAGACUCAAGUAAAUAUUUAAUACUCUAAAACACCCCUAAAACAAUACAAAAAUUUCAAAAAUACCCAUGUGAACAGUAAUGCAUGAAUACUAACGCGUGAACUGUAACACAUAAAGAGUAAUGUGUGAAUAGUAAAUAAAUAAAAAAAAACCCUAGAAAUCCAAAAAACCUAGAAAUAAACCCUAAAACUAAAACUACAAUAUACAUCGUUGAAAUUGAAUAAAAAUACAAAAUAAGAAGAUUUUUUCCCUCAAUUAUUCUCCCGUUGUUGUAGAAAACUCGUCCUUGAGUUCUGAAGUGUGUUAAGAUGAAUUCAACAUCAAAACCCCAUUCUUUGACUUUCUUUUUCUUUGUCGGUUCAUAUACUAUUCGAGGUAAAAAAAAAUUCAUCAAGAAAUGUGUCCUGAUAGGGAUAAUGAGGAAUCCAUGCAAAUUUAUCAAUUUCAAUUAUUUGUAAACUCGCAUCGAAAGUCAUGUAAGAUACUUUUAAACUCAAUUUAUAGGCUUAGAGGUUUUCUCAACAUUUAUUUGAUCACUUUUUGAAAUCAGGGCCACAAUUUGCUGAUUCUGAGUCGAUCACACUUCAACUACACUACUCUGAUUUCAAUAACGUAAAUCUCCUAGAUGUUCUAGAUCUUUAUCUUUCUUCGUCAAAGAUCGGUUCACACACGAAAUCUUGAUCACCAUAAGAUAUUAGAUCUCUUCUAAAAUCUUGUUCAUCAUCUAAGUAUGUAUCAAAAUUGGUGGCAGAUCCCAAUCUACAACCUUCUGACUUUCAAUGCAACCUACACCAAGAUCAACUUCGUUUUCCUUCAAAUUAUGUAAAUCGACUAAAUCUUAUAAUUUAUUCUCCCGAACAUGAGGCUUCCAACAUGGAGCGCGUGCGUAGGACGGGUGGUUGAAGGCAACUUCAUCAUUCCGCUCCAACUCUGAGUUGGACUUUGAUUUGUGCCAUUCUCCAUAAAAACCCUUACAAUUUGGAUCUAUCCUUGUAGUUUCCUCUUUGUUUGGGGCAUGCUUUUGCUGGCACCGCUUGCGCAGCAGUAGGACUUGUUGAUUUCCUUGUGUAGUCGGAUCGGAUGGGCUUCCCUAUGGUUAAGACCUCUACGAUAAGGCAUUACAAUCUCCAGUCGUCCUCGAACCAUGCUCUGAUACCACUUGAUGCAGGGAGAAAUUGUGGGAAAUUGAAUCCACCGUUCUCCUGAACCUUAAACCAGUAAAAUUAGCAAGAAGAGAGAAAGAACAUGGCUGUAUUAUAUCAAGCCAAGAGAAGAAUAACUUUUCUCUUUCACAAAAUAAAAUUUAUUUCAGUAACAUCUCCUCUAAACUAUGACAUCCAACAUUUAUAAGCCUAUGAAACCCUUAACUUGUGACUGAAGUAAAUAUUUAAUAGUCUAAAUACCCCUAAAAAAUUAUCAAAAUUCUAAAAAUACCCCUGUGAUAAGUAAAACGUGAAUAGUAAUGUGUGAACAAUAACAUGUGAACAGUAACGUAUGAAUAGUAACACGUGAACAGUAACACAUGAACAAUAAUGAGUGAAUAGUAAAUAAAAAAAUAAAAACCCUAGAAAUCCUAAAAACCUAGAAAUAAACCCUAAAACUAAAACUACAAUAUACAUCAUUGAAAUUGAAUAAAAAUAAAAAAUAAAAAGACUUUUGCCCUCCAUCAAGUUUAUAGAAUGGUUGGUGGAGUCCAGAAUGUUGUAUGCAGUGGAGAAGCAGCAUGUUAGUUCAGUUCUACAAUAGUUAGGGCUAUUAAUGAGGGGUUAUUUUGAUAUCAUAUGGAUGAGCUUUCUGAGGGAUUACCAUCCAUAUGGGGCAUCCAACAUUACAUAGACCUCAUUUUUGGGUCUAGCCUACCAAAAAAGGCCACAAAUAGAAUCAGCCCAAAGAAGCAUAAAGAAUUAUAGAGACUGGUCACAAAGCUUCUACAUAUGGCGAUUAUUAGAGAGAAAGAGUCCAUGUGCUAUCCCGGCCUUAUUGACACCUAAAAUGGGACUUAGCGCAUGUGUGUAGACACAGGCCUAUUAACUAGAUCAUGAUCAAGUUCCACCUCCCAAUUCCAUGCCUUAAUGAUAUGUUAGUUAUGCUGGCCAGUAUUACUGUGUUUUUGAAGAUAGAUUUGAAAAGUGGGUACCACAAAAUUUGUAUUCGACUAGGGGAUAAGUAGAAGAUGACAUUUAAAACAUGUGAGGGUCUUUAUGAGUGGUUGUUGAUGCCAUUUGACCUCUCUAAUACUCCUAAUGCUUUUGUGAGGGUGAUGAAUCAAGUCUUUAAACAUUGUAUUGGUAAAUUUGUGGUGGUUCACUUUGUUGAUAGUCUAGUAUACAUUAUUGGUGAGCAGGCACAUAUAGAGCACUUGGUGUUUGACUUGUUACAUGGACAACUAUGUGUAAUUCUUAAAAGUGUGAGUUCAUGACAAACAAUCUUUAUUGGUUAUGUUUUCUUGCUAGAGAUGUAGAACAAAGAUAAAAGACAGAGAAAGGUAGAAACUAAGGAGUUCAAUUUGUUGGAAAUGUGGCCUAUCAAGCCCUUU